CUCGCUGCUCGGUGCGUGCACCCGGCCCCGGCUCUGCGGGACGGGGAGUGGGGAACUCGAUGCGGGUGAGCCUGGAGGGUCUGGGAAGGCUUCCCGGACGAGGGGGAGCCACUCAGCCGCUGCCGUCCGCGCCCCCAGGCCGCGUGCCCACGUCGUUCUCCACUCCCUACUCGGCGGCCAAGUUUGCGCUGGACGGCUUCUUCGGCUCCCUGCGGCGGGAGCUGGACGUGCAGGACGUGAACGUGGCCAUCACCAUGUGCGUCCUGGGCCUCCGAGAUCGCGCCUCCGCCGCCGAGGCAGUCAGGGGAGUCACGAGGGUCAAGGCGGCCCCGGGGCCCAAGGCAGCCCUGGCCGUAAUCCGCGGCGGCGCCACGCGCGCGGCCGGCGUCUUCUACCCGUGGCGUUUCCACCUGCUGUGCUUGCUCCGGCGCUGGCUGCCGCGCCCGCGGGCCUGGUUUAUCCGCCAGGAGCUCAACGUCACGGCCGCGGCUGCAGCCUGAGCACCGGGGGGUGCCCCUCCAGUCCCAGACGGCAAUGUUCCUCCCUCCAACUGUCCCUGGAGCCAGAACACUCACAGAGACACCCCUGAGAGGGUGGCCAUAGCCCAAGAUGAAGUCAUCAAGACAGAAAAGCAAAACCCAGAAAAACGACGGGCACCUGGAACCAGUCACAGCUUCAGAGGUGCAGGUGCC
rnacentral:sRNA from 1 species